ensembl:ncRNA EGAP3.3 ncRNA
GCCCUGACUGCCUCGAGGCCAAUUCCCAGGACAGUCAUAAGAAGGAAUUAUAUAGUUCCGCCGGAGCCCGUGAGCCCUCCUUUGGCCGCACGCUCCGUUUUUUCGCCCAUUUCUCCUGCCCUUCCUUUCAAUUUUUUAUUUCGAAGGUUGGAAGUGAAAGUG